CCCUUAGAUGUCCUGGGCUGCACGCGCGCUACACUGACGAACUCAACGAGCUUAUCACCCUGGCAGAGAUGUCUGGGUAAUCUUUUGAAAGUUCGUCGUGCUGGGGAUAGAUGAUUGUAAUUAUUCGUCUUGAACGAGGAAUUCCUAGUAAGUGUGAGUCAUCAGCUCGCGCUGAUUACGUCCCUGCCCUUUGUACACACCGCCCGUCGCUCCUACCGAUUGAAUGGUCCGGUGAGGUUCUCGGAUUUUUUCUGUUGUUUGGUUCGCUAAACGAUUGAAGAGAGAAGUUACCCAAACCUUACCAUUUAGAGGAAGGAGAAGUCGUAACA
rnacentral:rRNA from 1 species